rnacentral:lncRNA from 1 species
UGUUACGUCAUAAAUGUUGCUAUAAGAAUGUUUGAAAAGUGUUGCAAUGUAGUGAUUAUAUAUAAUUUCUUGUACUGUUCUGUAGUUUCAGAAUAAGUCUAGUUUUUAGAGGUAAAUAUAGUUUAUUUGGUUGUGAUGCUUUUGGUUAAUGAUAUUUUUCUUAAAUACAUUUUUAAGUAAAAAGAUCCUAUCUUCAAAGCAGCAUUCCACCUUGAAAGAUCUGAAGAUCUCAGAAUCCUCUAGUCUAUAAAUUUCCUCUAAAGGGGCUGUCCUCUUGGGGGGUUAGCCCCACGUGGAGUAGGGAGAGAAGGGCAUCCACAUGGGGAAGGGGUGGUGGCAGAGAUGGGAGAAUGGUCACAUACACAGUGAUUUAUAAAAUCAGGAACUAUAUUAAGUAUAAUAGAAGCCAAGUCUUUUCAGAGAAACAAUACUUUUUGGUGAAUGAAUGUAUAUCUGUAUAUAUGAUGAGGAAUGAGAUAUUUACAUAGUUUCAAAGUACCUAUCUACUAAAAUAGGUAUUAAGUAUUGUACAAGGGGAAAAAGAGUAACAUUACAGUGAGGAAAGUGGUGUAAAGAAUUCUGUCUGUAAAAGUCAAUAUUUAACCCUCUGUAUUUCUUUCUCUUGAGAUUUUCUUUACCUAUUUCACAUUGACUCAUAAAUCACUUCACAUAAGAUGUUUUUAUCUUCCCUGAAGGUAGAAUCAGAAAUUGAAAUUCCCUCUUCGCCUUGUUUGAGUUGCAUCCUUAUUUAAAAUAUUGUAGGGUGAUCUGAGUCCUGAAAUAGCUUAUUGGAGACAUUGAAUGCAAUUCUGUAGUAUAAAUGUCUAUCCUACGUCUUCUUUUUGUAUGGGAUCUUUGAGAAGGGAACUUAUACUUUGUUUGAAUGAAGUCACCAGAACAGCAUUGUCCAUUAGAACUUUCUGCACAAAUGGAAAUGUGCCGUAUCUGUAUUGUCCAAGGGCACUAGCUACAUGUAGCUGUUGAGUGCUGGAAAUGUGGCUAGUGUGACUGAGGAACUGACUUAAUUUCAUUUUAAUUAAUUUAUAUUUACAUCAUUACACACAAUGGCCACUGUAUUGGCCAGCAGAGCACUAGUGUAUAGGAAGGGGAUAUUUUAAGAUUCACCUCAGGAGUCAGCUCUUCUGGGAAGCUUUUAGACUCUGGGUUAAGUGUCUUCUCUUUAUAUGCCCUGUGGUACCCUAUGCAUACUUGUAUCAUAAUGCUCUUCCCAGAGUUUUGCAAUCACGUGCAUUCUUGUCUUUGCAACUAAAUUAAAUGAGCUUCUUAAGGGUAAAGACUCUUGUAGUCUUUUAUGAUCACAGGGCCUGGCACUUGAUAGACAAUAAGUGUCUUUGAAUGAAUGAAAAAUGGCAUAGCAUAGCAAGAAAUGCCAUUUUAGUAUGGGGCUUUCUCAAAGCUUAAGAGCCUCAACUGGAAGUAGUAGUUACUUGGUUCAGAAAGUACCUGCCUUGUUGUCUCAGGAGGCUAUCCUUGUGCUUGGUUAGCAGGUUGUCUCAUAGAUUUUAUUUAAAGCCAAUACUCCCGGGAAGAGUCAUUCAUGCAGCAGACAUUCAUUGAGCUCUCCAUGAACCUGGUGCACUGUUCUGGGAACUGAAAAUAAAAGAGAAUAAUUAGCAAAGUUCUCUGGCCUUCAGGAGUUCAGUUUUGGUGGGGAAAUUGACGUGUGCCCCCAUCAUCAACAGUAGUUUUAAUAAUUAGGAAUAUUUUUAGUAUUUAGAAAUUGCAGAUAAAGCUGAAAACCUUUAAAGGUCAGUAAUUAUAACUAUACUUAAGUUUUCCUAAUUUUACGGAGUAUAGUUUAUCUCCUAUGGUAGUUCUUUGUUCUUCCUCUCAAAUUUCACAGAAUAAUGCCCAGCAUACAGGUUUUCAAAACUUAGUAUUUCUGUAAUAGUUCUUGUUUCAGCUCCCCCUCCCCCAGUUUUAACAUUUCUGAAAUCUUAGCAGUAUGUCUUAGAGUUGCUAAGGACGAGGGGCAGCCAGGCUGCAGCUGUGCUGUAGUUGACUGCUUGCCAUAUGCACAGUACCUUUGGGUAAAAUCCAGAAGACACCGGCAUCAGCAUGUGCAGAAAAGGGUGCUGGCAGCUUGGGAGGAAAUCUCAGGGACACCAUGAAACAUUCUUAAAUACUGCAUCACCAACACUCUUUUUGGCACAAAGAAUGGCUUGGAGUGAAAAAUAUGGACAUUGGUGGCUCCAAGUCAAAAAGUGAUUCAGAAGAUCUGGAAUCUGAAUGUGAAAUCUUAAAAACUAUAACCAGUUUAUCUUGUCUAUAUUUUUCUUUUUUAUAUAUGCUCAAGAAUAAUAUAUGAUAAAAAUGUUUAAAGUGUAAAUGGGCUCUUUUAUAAAACCUUUUCAUCAUGGAAAAGUGUAAACAUACCCUUUUAGUAGAUAGAAAUAAUACAUGGAACCUGCAUAUACCCAUCACCUAGAUGUCAUAAUUGUUAACACAUGGCUCAGCUUGUCUUGUUUCUUCUGUUUCACCACCCACUUCCUGCUUCAUAUUUUGAGGCAAAUCCUAGAUGUCUCCCAUUUCAUCUGUAAAUAUCUCAGUGUGUAUCUCUAAAAGAUCAUUUAAAAAUUUUAAAAAUAAGUAUAAAAGACUUAAGUGCACAGCCGAAAAAUUGGUGAAAAUAUUUGCAACAUGUAUUAGAGAUAAAACUUACAAGGAAUCUUAAAAACUGAGGGGAUUUUUCCUCACCUACUUUGCUCUCUUUUCCUUCCAUCAAUCUGAAAUGACUCAGACUCUAAUUUAUUAGGUGAGGCAAAGCAACAUAGGCAUCCAAGAGGAACCAGUGUAGCUUUGUGUGGGUGUCAGAGCCCACGCAGGACAAGGAGGCUGUCCUCUUGGGGGGUUAGCCCCACGCGGAGUAGGGAGAGAAGGGCAUCCACAUGGGGAGGGGUGGUGGCAGAGAUGGGAGAAUGGUCACAUACACACUGAUUGAUAAAAUCAAGAACUAUAUUAAGGAUAAUAGAAGCCAAAUCUUGUCAGAGAAACAAUACUUUUUGGUGAAUGGAUGUAUAUCUGUAUGUAUGAUGAGGAAUGAAAUAUUUACAUAGUUUCAAAGUACCUGUCUACUAAAAUAGGUAUUAAGUGUUGUACAAGGGGGAAAAGAAUAACAUUACAGUGAGGAAACCUGGCAGAUACCACUUUACUCAGGUGGUCAGAUGAUUAAAGUGAAUGUCAUUGGUAAUGAGGUAAAUUGAAAUCACCUGACAGGAUAGUGGAAGACGAAGACAGCAUCACUUCUGUGAAAUCCCUGCCCAAGAGUGAAGAUUAUGAAAGUCAAGGAAUAAUGAGGAACUGUUCCAGACUGAGGGAAAGAAAAUAUUUGACAAGCAGAUGGUAUUCGUGCUUCUGAACUGAAUUCUUUUGCUCUAAUAAAAGACAUUUUGGGCACAGUUUUCUGAUUCUGAUGAUUGUAUUGUGAUUAUGUAAGAGAAUGUAGGAAAAGUAUUCAGGGGUAGUGUGGGACAGGUCAGCAACUCACUCUGAAAUGGUUCAGGAAAAUCAGUUCUUUAUGCUGUAUUUUCAAUCCUUGUAUAAAUUCGUGUUUGUUUCAAAGAUUAAAAAAAGAGAGAAAAUGGAGGGGAAAAUACCUGGUAGGCAAAUGAACAAAAGACAUGAAUAGGCAAUUCAUUUAAAAAUUAAAAUAGGUCUUAAAAUAUUUAAAAAAAUUCAGCAUCACUGAUAAUUAGAGAAAUGCAAAUUAAAACUGCAAUGAAAUAUUCUCAUCUGUCAUGAGAAGGUUGUGGCUGAGUUAAGAGAUUGGCAAAUCCCCACCCACCCUGCCCAAAAGCAACUGUAAAUGCCAUUCUGUAAACAAAAGGAAUCAGGAACCCUUGGUGAUGUGACUGAUUUCAGAGCUGGGGCAGAUAAAGUACAAGCUGAGCUCAGAAAGUGAAGUUGUGCCAGAGGAUAAGGAAGUGGCUCAGAGAAUGAAUGGAACAUGUCAAAAGGACACAGAAAUUACCUUGAAGGAGCUGACCAAAAUGCAGACAAUUUAAACAACAAAAUAAGUAAUGAUAGUAAUGGAAUAUAACCCAUAGAAUAAAAAUGAGUCAUAAAUAAAUAAAUGGAGAAGGAAAAAUAUUUCCUUAGAGUAAAAUUCUAUUUAAUAUAUGUAGAUGGAUUGAUGGGGUUAGAAAAAUCACCAUUUGGCAGCCACUAGUAAUGGUUUCAGGCAGGAGUUUUCAGGGUUUGAUAAAACUAGUUGCAAAAUUAUGAUGGGAAACCUGGUAUUACUAUAGGUUCCAGGUAUCUCCCCACAAGAUACUUAACAGUGACAAAGGGAAAAAGUAAUUUUACAGCUACUGGCAAACAUGACCUUAAGCAACAGAUCAGGGUUAACACACCAGUGACAGGACAAGCCACCAUCGGGUGUGUACCUCCUAAUAGUGGUCCACUGAGAAGAACAGUGUCAUGUCUGUGGCUUCCUGUCAAAAGUGUAUAAACUGAAUCUCAGCACGAAUAACAGGCAAACCCAGACUGGGAGGUGUUCUACAAAAAUAACUGGCCUGCACUUCUUUAAACUCUGAAAAACGAAUGAAGAACUAUUCCACAGUUAAAGGCGACAUGACAGCUACAUACAUGGUAUGAUCCUGGAUUUAACUCUGGAUCAGAAAAUGGUUUUUGUGCUGUAAAGAAUACAGGUAGGGCAAUUAAUGAAAUCUGAAGAUGGUCUGUAGAUUAUAGUAUUGCAUCAGUGUUGAGUUUCCAGUUUUCAUAAUUGCACUGUGGUUAUGCAAGAGCACAUCCAUGUUUUAGGAAAUACACACUGAAGCGUUUAGUAAAGGUACAUCAUAUUUACAACUUAACCUUCAAGCAUUUCAGGAAUCUAUAUAUAUACAUAUACUCUGUCACACACAUAUAUAAACAUAAACAGAUAAUGAUAAAGCAAAUGUAAAAUAUCAACAGUUUAGAAAACAAGGUGUAGGUUAUGCAGAAAUUCUUUGUACUGUUUUUCUCAGUCUCUUAUUAAGUGUGAAAUUAUUUCAAAAUUAAACUAUUUUGUAAAACUUUU